CGUUGAUUACGUCCCUGCCCUUUGUACACACCGCCCGUCGCUACUACCGAUUGAAUGGCUCAGUGAGGCGUCCGGACUGGCCCAGAGAGGUGGGCAACUACCCCUCAGGGCCGGAAAGCUCUCCAAACUCGGUCAUUUAGAGGAAGUAAAAGUCGUAAC
rnacentral:rRNA from 1 species